rnacentral:misc_RNA from 1 species
GCCCUUCUUUAAGCCUGACCAAACAGAUAACAAAACUAAUCCUCUCCUCUUGUCUUCCCAUUAGGCCGUUCCCUUCCAAUCCCGGCUCUCCAAAACUCCAAACUCUCACGCUAAUCCCAGAGUCUCCCAUGGCAAUUUCAGCCUCGGCCACGGCCUCCACUACCUCUAAACUAGCUUACCCUCAUCCUCAUGCCUCCCCUUCCUCUUUCCUUACAAAACCCACUAAGCUAACUCCCAAAACC